GUGGGGAAUAUUGGACAAUGGGGGGAACCCUGAUCCAGCCAUGCCGCGUGUGUGAAGAAGGCCUUCGGGUUGUAAAGCUCUUUAGUCCACGAAUAUAAUGACUGUAGUGGAAGAAUAAGCCCCGGCUAACUUCGUGCCAGCAGCCGCGGUAAUACGAAGGGGGCGAGCGUUAUUCGGAAUCACUGGGCGUAAAGCGUGCGUAGGCUGUUUUGUAAGUCAGAAGUGAAAGCCCAGGGCUUAACCCUGGAAUUGCUUUUGAAACUACAAGACUCGAAUUCGGGAGAGGAUAGCGGAAUUGUCAGUGUAGCAGUGAAAUGCGUAGAUAUUGACAGGAACACCAGUGGCGCAAGCGGCUAUCUGGACCGAUAUUGACGCUGAGGCACGAAAGCGUGGGGAGCAAACAGGAUUAGAAACCCCAGUAGUCC
rnacentral:rRNA from 1 species